GCUUGUCUCAAAGAUUAAGCCAUGCAUGUCUAAGUGUAAAUACGUCUACACUGUGAAACUGCGAAUGGCUCAUUAAAUCAGUUAUCGUUUAUUUGAUGAUCUCUUGUUACAUGGAUAACCGUAGUAAUUCUAGAGCUAAUACAUGCGUCAAGCCCCGACUUCGGAAGGGGUGUAUUUAUUAGAUUCAAAGCCAACCGUGUAAAAAGCGUACCUUGGUGAUUCAUAAUAACUUGUCGAACCGCACGCCCUUGAGGCAGCGGUGAUUCAUUCAAAUUUCUGCCCUAUCAGCUUUGGAUGGUAGGGUAUUGGCCUACCAUGGCUUUAACGGGUAACGGAGAAUUAGGGUUCGAUUCCGGAGAGGGAGCCUGAGAAAUGGCUACCACAUCCAAGGAAGGCAGCAGG
rnacentral:rRNA from 1 species